rnacentral:lncRNA from 1 species
ACACAGUAUGACUCCUUUAAGAUAUCUAAAGCUAACAGAAAAAUCAUUGCUAGGAUAGAGGGACAAUGAUUUAGGAAAGAUGACAAUAGACACCUUUAGUCUGAGACUAACAAAUCUGUAGCAGAAGGAGGACAACUUUGGAGCAAAUUCAGAGCAGUUGAGGGUCCCAGUUAUUCAGCAAAAAACAGAGUAUAUCGUUAUAAAAACAAACAACUGUGUGCAGUAGAUAGGUAAAUCAUGAGGGAAGAAAUGUGAAUGGCCAAAAAUGCUUGUCUUGCUUUUCUAGAAACUGAACAAUGGCAAAGAAUAAAAAGUCUGUUAAGGCUAAGAGUUGUCAAGCUGGAAAAUGUCUGGAAGAGAAGAGGCAGAGAAACAUGCAAAAGUCCUGGGACAGCUCUGGAAACUAAGAUGGUGAUCUGCUUUCUGGUAUGAAGAAAAAAGAAGAUUCAGUAAACAGCUGGUGAUAUAUGCAGUAUGAUCCUCUGUCGUGACUGACUGGGGGCAGUGAGCCACAGCUCUGUCAGCCAUGUGACCACAAGGGUAAACAACCUAUAUACUCACAACCCUUUUGUUUUUUGCUUUCAGUACAGCAUUCAGUAAAUUACAUGAGAUAUUCAACAUUUUACUAUAAAAUUGGCUUUGUCUUGGAUAAUUUUUGCCCAACUGUAGGUUACUGUAAAUGUUCUGAGUAUGUUCAAG